GAUGAACGCUGACAGAAUGCUUAACACAUGCAAGUCAACUUGAACUUCGGUUUGGGUGGCGGACGGGUGAGUAACGCGUAAAGAACUUGCCUCACAGCUAGGGACAACAUUUGGAAACGAAUGUUAAUACCUGAUAUUAUGAUUUUAGGGCAUCCUAGAAUUAUGAAAGCUAUAUGCGCUGUGAGAGAGCUUUGCGUCCCAUUAGCUAGUUGGAGAGGUAACGGCUCACCAAGGCGAUGAUGGGUAGCCGGCCUGAGAGGGUGAACGGCCACAAGGGGACUGAGACACGGCCCUUACUCCUACGGGAGGCAGCAGUGGGGAAUAUUGGACAAUGGACCAAGAGUCUGAUCCAGCAAUUCUGUGUGCACGAUGAAGUUUUUCGGAAUGUAAAGUGCUUUCAGUUGGGAAGAAAAAAAUGACGGUACCAACAGAAGAAGUGACGGCUAAAUACGUG
rnacentral:rRNA from 1 species